CUUUCAUUCAUCUUCUUCCGUCUUCUCUUUCUUUCUUCAUCUGUUCUUCUUCGUUUUCUCCUCUGUCCGUAGCCUUUGGUUAUUUGAGGGGUGAGAUGAUGGUUCUGUGAUCUGUAGAAGGUGGGGAAGAUCUUUCAGUAGUCGAUGGUUAUGGUGGUGGUGCCGUAAUCGAUUUAGAAUUGAAGGAGGAAGCUAAUUAGUAAGAGUAGAAUUAGGGUUUCUCUAAGAGUUGUGUAGAAGAUCGAUUGAUGAUGAAUAAUAUGGAAUUAAAGAUGGGUUUUGUGUAUUGUAUGCAAAAUAAAGGAUUUAGUAUCUGAUUUUUUUUACUCACAGAGGAAUUAGGGUUUAUAAGGAAUUCAGAGAAGUUUUAGAAUGAGAAAUUGAAGGUAAUUCUGAAUAAUUAAGGAUGGGUUUGAUAGAGUUUGAAGAAAAAGAUCUGCCGAAUCCAGUCAAGUAAGAAGAAGGGUUGAAUUGUAUUUCUGGAUUGAAAAGUACUUUGAGGUAAUGGUACUCUCUGUAAUCAAUAAAUUUAUUUGGUUUUUAUUUUGAAGUUGUGUAAUUUAUUUCAUAGAAUUGAGAUGUUGUUGAUAUGAAGAUGAUGACGAAUUAUGAACCAAAGCUGCAGGUUAUGGUUGAAUUCUUGUGGUUGUAUGUGUGUGGUGUGAGAUGAGGUUGUAGGUAUUAUGAACUGUUUUUUGGUGAAUGAGAUGGUCCUACAGGGAUUGAGCUUUAAGAACUGGUGUUGAUUGCAUGGAGUUAUAGUGAACUGAAUAAUGGAAUGGUGUUACAGAGUAUGCAUGAGAGGAUAGUGUUAAUGAAAUUGCAGGACAUGAGUGUGCCUUGGCUAUGUUUGAAGUUGAGGUGUUUUUUUAGAGUCUGUUGAGCAUUACAGAGUGGUUAUGAGAUGGGUAUCAUAUGAAGUUUGGUUGUAGAUAAAUUUUCUUGAGUUGCAGAGAAUUGUGGAUGAUGCAAGAAUUGAUCUUUGUUUUAAGUUGGAAGUGUUGCUGGUGCUGAGCUGAGUUGCAGGUAAUGGUGUUUAACUGGUAUUGUGUUGCUUUGAGUAAAGAAAUUAUAGUUGAUGGAAUUGUUGUAAUGAGUAGUUGCAAAAGAUGGAUUACAUACAUGUGCAAUUAUAGAGGAGUUGCUUGUAAAGAAGGUGAUGUUGCUGUUGGAACUCAGUUGAGUGUGCUGAUUUGCCUUAGCUGUAGUGUUGAACUGAACUCAGUUGAGUGGUCUGUGGUUUGGGUUAUAACUGAUGAAGAGUGGAUUGUAAUUGCUAAAUUUAAGUUACAUAAGGGAACAUUUGAGUUGUAGUGAAGAAUAAUGGUUAUGCUUCCAGUUGAAUGAGAUAAUCUGAGUUGGAGUUGGUCUGGAUGUUGUGCUGGUAGGAGUAGAUGUUUUAUUGAAGCGGCAAUAGCUUGUGAAACCAAGUUAGUCUAUAUUAACAACGAUCGAUUCAAAGGAUGAACCAGUGGAUCGUGGAUCUCGAGGUAGGCGUGGCUUUUCAUCAAAAGAGGUGGGAAUUUAUAUUUAACUCUAUUGUGAUUAUUGUUGUUUUCCUUUACAAAAUUCUAUGUUUAACAAAUUCAUGCAUUAUCUGGUAGUGCUUUCCAUGCAUUUGUUUAACUUUGAAUUACGAAAGUUCUGUUAUUUCUUUUAAU